rnacentral:rRNA from 1 species
UGGUGGAGCGAUUUGUCUGGUCAAUUCCGAUAACGAACGAGACUCUAGCCUUCUAAAUAGUUCGGGGACCCCCACAAAGGGGCCCCGCUUCAACUUCUUAGAGGGACAGGUGGCGUUUAGCCACACGAGAUUGAGCAAUAACA